rnacentral:rRNA from 1 species
UACGUAGGGUGCAAGCGUUGUCCGGAAUUAUUGGGCGUAAAGAGCUCGUAGGCGGUUUGUCGCGUCUGCUGUGAAAACCCGAGGCUCAACCUCGGGCCUGCAGUGGGUACGGGCAGGCUAGAGUGCGGUAGGGGAGACUGGAAUUCCUGGUGUAGCGGUGAAAUGCGCAGAUAUCAGGAGGAACACCGGUGGCGAAGGCGGGUCUCUGGGCCGAUAUUGACGCUGAGGAGCGAAAGCGUGGGGAGCGAACAGG